ACAUAUUGCUGGAAGAUACGAUUUCGAUUCAACAGCUGCAUUUUGUAGAAGAAACUGAACUGUUAUGAUGCACCAAUCGAAAACUAACGAAAUUUCGUUAGAAAAGUUGUGGUUUCUAUGGGAUUUUCUUGCUAGAAGCAAGUUGAAGACGUCUUCAAGAAUUAACAGCGUGUUUUCCAAAAAUACAAAAAGACAUUUGCGUAAAAUAAACAGCGGCUUUUAUGUUGGUAGAAAAGAACUAAAGCGUAUUUUUAACCGCAGUGUCUCGAGUGAAGAACAUUUGGAUAGAGGAGAAAAAAAAAAAAAAAGGAAAAGUUUAGUGGUGGACGAAAGAGAAAUGGAUAUUUGAUGUAAAUGCACCUAAAGAAUUCGGAGGUGGAAAAGGAAGAAAAAGUUGUCAAAUAACGUCCGAAAACGACUUUAUUUUUUCACCUUAUUUUCUUAUCUUUACUGAAAAGAGAAAAGAAAAAUAUUUUUGUGAAAGAUAUUCAACAUCGCAUGAUUUAACCGAAGUUAUGAUAAAUUAAAAUCAAAAUGACAUCUGGUAUUCUGA